UUGACGUAGAAGUUGUUUUUAAAGUAAUUGCCUGUUGAAAUAAACUUUUGAGCUUGAACAGGGUAGAAAUAGGAAGCAUAAAGCUCUUGAAAUGAUAUUUGAAGUCAAAAUGAAUGUAUAAAUAAAUGUAAGACAUAUAAUUAAAAAUGAUUGUUUCCUAACUAAAACAGAUCGUAGUUAAAAGCUUUUCGUAAUAUGUCAGAUGCCCAAUUAGCUGGCGAAGAAGCUAAUCAACCAAACUUAGCUGUUGUUAAUGAAGUUAAUAAUGAAGAAUUAGUUGAUCCUCGAGUGCAAGUUGAACUUGAGCGUCUUAAUACUGCAACUGAUCUCAUUAAUAAACUUGAAAUAGAACUAGAUGAAGCACGGUCUAAUUUUAGACUGUUGUUGAGUGAAUCAUCUUUGAGAGGUAAUCAGUUAGCAAAGAAGCUUGGAUCAUGUGUAGAAAGAGCUAGGCCUUAUUAUGAGGCUAGAAUGCAUGCUAAACAGCUGCAAACACAAACUCAAAAAGCAGCUCUAAGAUAUGAAAGAGCAAGUAGUGCACACUCUGCUGCUAAAGAAAUGGUUUAUUUGGCUGAAGAAGGUUUAAAAAAGGAAGGAGGGUGCUUUGAUCCUGCAUGGCAAGAAAUGCUUAAUCAUGCCACACUCAGGGUACCGCGAGCCAUAACACUGCUGAUUAAUGAAUAUCUGAUAGUUUCUAGGCAGGAGAAGAUGGGGAAAAUCACAAGCACAUCUUGUUGAAAUUUCUUGGAACCUGGCUGUGGAUCAUUAUUCUCCAUUUCUCCUGUCGUAGCGAUAAUACUUUGUUGAAUGAAAUGCAGGAUAUUCUAAAAAAAUGAAUGAAUGGAAAAAAAGAACCUGUGUGACCAAAAGGUCUUUUUUUCUAUGUUCUGGAAAACUAAUUAUUAAGACUCUAUAGUUUGGAAAAAAAAUGUAGAACACCGGCUUCUCAAGGUACUGUGAAAUAUGUUACAACAGAUAGGUUAAUGAAGCUGAAAGUGAAAGAGUAUUAAGUCAACGAGAACACCAGAAGCUAUCACUUGCCUACAAUGAAGCUGAGAGAAUUGUCCAGCAACUGCACCAAGACCUCAAAAAAUCUAUCACUAAGUCAAGG